AAGAAAUUAGUUUAAACUAAAACAUUAAUUUGUCAAAUUAAAAAUAAUUAAUAUUAUUUCUUU
rnacentral:tRNA from 1 species